rnacentral:misc_RNA from 1 species
GAUGAAGAACGUAGCGAAAUGCGAUAAGUAAUGUGAAUUGCAGAACUCAGUGAAUCAUCGAAUCUUUGAACGCACAUUGCGCCCUGUGGUAUUCCGCAGGGCAUGCCUGUUCGAGCGUCAUUUCAACCCUCAAGCUCUGCUUGGUGUUGGGCCCUGCCCGCUGCGGCCGGCCCUAAAGACAGUGGCGGUGCCGCCUGGCCCUGAGCGUAGUACAUCUCUCGCUCCAGUGCCCGGUGGUAGCCUGCCAGAACCCCAACUCUCGUGGUUGACCUCGGAUCAGGUAGGGAUACCCGCUGAACUUAAGCAUAUCAAAAGCGGAGGA